rnacentral:rRNA from 1 species
UACGAAGGGGGCUAGCGUUGCUCGGAAUCACUGGGCGUAAAGCGCACGUAGGCGGACUUUUAAGUCAGGGGUGAAAUCCUGGAGCUCAACUCCAGAACUGCCUUCGAUACUGCCGUGCUUGAGGACUGGAGAGGAGACUGGAAUUUACGGUGUAGCGGUGAAAUGCGUAGAUAUCGUAAGGAAGACCAGUGGCGAAGGCGGGUCUCUGGACAGUUCCUGACGCUGAGGCACGAAGGCCAGGGGAGCAAACGGG